rnacentral:rRNA from 1 species
GACGAACGCUGGCGGCGUGCUUAACACAUGCAAGUCGAACGGAAAGGCCCUGCUUUUGUGGGGUGCUCGAGUGGCGAACGGGUGAGUAACACGUGAGUAACCUGCCCUUGACUUUGGGAUAACUUCAGGAAACUGGGGCUAAUACCGGAUAGGAGCUCCUGCUGCAUGGUGGGGGUUGGAAAGUUCCGGCGGUUGGGGAUGGACUCGCGGCUUAUCAGCUUGUUGGUGGGGUAGUGGCUUACCAAGGCUUUGACGGGUAGCCGGCCUGAGAGGGUGACCGGCCACAUUGGGACUGAGAUACGGCCCAGACUCCUACGGGAGGCAGCAGUGGGGAAUAUUGCACAAUGGGCGGAAGCCUGAUGCAGCAACGCCGCGUGCGGGAUGACGGCCUUCGGGUUGUAAACCGCUUUCGCCUGUGACGAAGCGUGAGUGACGGUAAUGGGUAAAGAGGCACCGGCUAACUACGUG